CACGUAGGGCGCAAGCGUUGUCCGGAAUUAUUGGGCGUAAAGAGCUCGUAGGCGGUCUGUUGCGUCCGCUGUGAAAACUCGGGGCUUAACCCCGAGCCUGCAGUGGAUACGGGCAGACUAGAGGUAGGUAGGGGAGAAUGGAAUUCCCGGUGUAGCGGUGAAAUGCGCAGAUAUCGGGAGGAACACCGGUGGCGAAGACGGGUCUCUGGGCAGUAACUGACGCUGAGGAGCGAAAGCGUGGGGAGCGAACAGG
rnacentral:rRNA from 1 species